rnacentral:rRNA from 1 species
GCUAAGCUCUGAACAUUGACUAAGCAAUUUACAACGCUUUCCGCCAGAGAACUACAAGUAAAAAACUUAAAACUCAAAGGACUUGGCGGUGUCCCAUACCGAUCUAGAGGAGCCUGUCCUAUAAUCGAUACCCCCCGCUCAACCCAACCUUAACUAGCCCCCUCAGCCUAUAUACCGCCGUCGACAGUCUACCCCAUGAGGGCCCAACAGUAGACACAAUAACCACACUCGCUAACACGUCAGGUCAAGGUGUAGCAAAUGUUAAGGAAGAGAUUGGCUACAUUUUUUAUCUUUAAAAAACACGAAAUGCACCAUGAAACAUUGCACAAAGGUGAAUUUAGCAGUAAACUAGAAUAGAGAGUCUAUUUUAACCUCGCCCUGGGACGCGCACACACCGCCCGUCACCCUCCUCACCAACACCUUUUACUAAAUAAACACUUUUAAUAUUCAAGAGGAGGU